CAAAUUCUAACUCUCUUCUAAGAAACCCAUGAUCAUUUAAACUCUCAAGAAAGACUUUUCCAUUUUCAAUGCAAUCUUUAAUUAAUUCUAGGUUUCUUUUAAUGCUUGAAGGCACAAACUUUCUUCUCAUGCAAGCUUUUAAAUCACACCAAUCAUGAAUGGGAGACUUCCUACCUUUCCUAACAUGAUAUUGCCUUUCAUCCCACCACUCACUUGCA
rnacentral:lncRNA from 1 species